UAUGGAUCGAUAAGUAAAUUUGCAUAAAUCUCAAAGCGCAAGUUGAGAAUUCGAAUAAUCGAACGAUUAGGAGUUUACUUACCGGGCGCUCUCGGGAAGAAUCCACGGUGUGAUAGCGACAGAUAACAGCGGUAUGGCAGUAACUAAUAGAACAUGGAAGAUUUAUCGAGUGAAACCGGUUAUUAUUAAUAUGGAGCAAUUGAUGACGAGCCGAAUGAACGAUACCAUCAACAUAAUUGUAGGAUAAUUGUAAGAUUAUAAAUAUAAUUCCGAUUUUAAAUUAA